rnacentral:tRNA from 1 species
GCGGUCAUGGCGGAAUUGGUAGACGCGCUACCUUGAGGUGGUAGUGGGGAGACCCGUGGAGGUUCGAGUCCUCUUGACCGCACCA